GGUUAUACUGUCUCCUUUUUCUAAUCAGUAAAACUAAUCUCCCCGUGAAGAAGCGAGGAUAUUUAUAUAAGACGAGAAGACCCCAUGGAGCUUAAAACCCAACUACACUCCUAAUCUUAUAACCUCACAACCACUAGGAGCCUGUAUAUUGGUUUUAGGUUGGGGCGACCACGGAGCACAACAAAACCUCCACAAUGAACGGGACCACCCCUUAUCUAAGAGCUACCCCUCUAAGAAUUAAAAUAUUAACAUAAAGUGAUCCAUUUUUUGAUCAAUGAACCAAGUUACCCUGGGGAUAACAGCGCAAUCCAUUUCAAGAGCCCCUAUCGACAAAUGGG
rnacentral:rRNA from 1 species